rnacentral:rRNA from 1 species
UGCGUAGGCGGUGCGGAAAGUUGGGUGUGAAAUCCCUCGGCUCAACCGAGGAACUGCGCCCAAAACUACCGCACUUGAGGGAGAUAGAGGUGAGCGGAACUUAGGGUGGAGCGGUGAAAUGCGUUGAUAUCCUAAGGAACACCGGUGGCGAAAGCGGCUCACUGGAUCUCUUCUGACGCUGAGGCACGAAAGCUAGGGUAGCGAACG